GGCUCCAUCCAGCUGUGCAGUGGGGAGGACUGGCCAGACCUUCUGUCCACUGUUGCAAUGACCCCAGGAAGCUACCCCCAAUAAACUGUGCCUGCUCAGAGCCCCAGGGCUGGCUGGCGGCUCCGCGCAGUCCCAGAGGGCCCCGGAUAGGGUGCUCUGCCACUCCGGACAGCAGCAGGGACUGCCGAGAGCAGCAGGAGGCUCUGUCCCCCACCCCCGCUGCCACUGUGGAGCCGGGAGGGCUGACUGGCCAGGUCCCCCAGAGCUGGACGUGUGCGUGGAGGAGGCCGAGGGCGAGGCGCCGUGGACGUGGACCGGCCUCUGCAUCUUCGCCGCACUCUUCCUGCUCAGCGUGAG
rnacentral:lncRNA from 10 species